GACGAACGCUGGCGGCGUGCCUAAUACAUGCAAGUUGAGCGCUGAAGGUUGGUACUUGUACCUACUGGAUGAGCAGCGAACGGGUGAGUAACGCGUGGGGAAUCUGCCUUUGAGCGGGGGCCAACAUUUGGAAACGAAUGCUAAUACCGCAUAAAAACUUUAAACACAAGUUUUAAGUUUGAAAGAUGCAAUUGCAUCACUCAAAGAUGAUCCCGCGUUGUAUUAGCUAGUUGGUGAGGUAAAGGCUCACCAAGGCGAUGAUACAUAGCCGACCUGAGAGGGUGAUCGGCCACAUUGGGACUGGGACACGGCCCAAACUCCUACGGGAGGCAGCAGUAGGGAAUCUUCGGCAAUGGACGAAAGUCUGACCGAGCAACGCCGCGUGAGUGAAGAAGGGUUUCGGAUCGUAAAACUCUGUUGGUAGAGAAGAACGUUGGUGAGAGUGGAAAGCUCAUAAAGUGACGGUAACUACACAGAAAGGGACGGCUAACUACGUG
rnacentral:rRNA from 1 species